UAUUUGAGGUGGACAAAUGUGCCAUCCACACACCUUUAAAGGUCAAAAGAGAUGCAGGAAUUGGCACACCUGCCAAAUA
rnacentral:ncRNA from 1 species